GUUUACAUCAUUUGGUGAGAUGAUGUCAAUUGUUUAAGAUUUUUGGUCUAGCACUUUGGCUUGAUCUCAAAUUUUAAGUGCAUUCUAAGAUGGAUUUGGAGAUUACCAGGAGAUAGUCUUCAAUUUCCUUGGAAGCACACAUUGUUGACAAGAGAUCGAAUUUUGCCGAAUUUGUCUUCUAGUAAAGAUUCUGUACCCAUCGUAUAAGGCUGUUCUGAAAGUGGACUAAUGUUCCAUUUUUCGAGUGUUUUAGUGUCUUGGAAGAAUAUUGGGAUGUCAUACUCCAAUAGAAAAUUCAUUAUUAUUUGGUAAGAGAUGUUCCUUUCAUUUGUAUAAGAUUUUCUUUACAUGAACACUCGAUUUGAUUCAAAAUUUAUGAGCAUUGUGUUUGAG
rnacentral:misc_RNA from 1 species